GAUCCUGGCUCAGGAUGAACGCUAGCUACAGGCUUAACACAUGCAAGUCGAGGGGCAGCAUGGUCUUAGCUUGCUAAGACUGAUGGCGACCGGCGCACGGGUGAGUAACACGUAUCCAACCUGCCGUCUACUCUUGGACAGCCCUCUGAAAGGAAGAUUAAUACAAGAUGGCAUCGUGAGUCCGCAUGUUCACAUGAUUAAAGGUAUUCCGGUAGACGAUGGGGA
rnacentral:rRNA from 1 species